UAGGGCUGUACCCACAGUAUAUGGAGGUUCCCAGGCUAGGGAUCUAAAUGGAGCUGUAGCCACUGGCCUACGCCAGAGCUACAGCAACACCAGAUCCGAGCUGUGUCUGCGACCCACACCACAGCUUAUGGCAAUGCCGCAUCCUUAACCCACUGAGCAAGGCCAGGGAUCAAACCCGCAACCUCAUGAUUCUUAGUUGGAUUCUCUUGUAUGCAUGUCUUGUCCGGGUUGAUAGGCUAUGUCUCUGGACUCUUCUGUUAUUCCUUCUGUUACCAAUUUCCAUUGUUUGGACCCUGCUCAGGCCCAAGACCCACGAGGCUCUCAUCCUCAAGAGGGAGGGUUCUUUUUUCUUAGGAUUUGAAUAGGUAAAUAAGGAAACCAAAGCUGAGAAACAGCACACGUCUUAUUCUGUGGCCAAAGAAUGGAGAAACAGGAACCAGGUUCACAAAUCAACUGGCCCACUUGACAAGAGGGAUUUAUAAAGACAGAGGGAGGAGGGCUGAGGCUAAUGAUAAGGAGGCCUAUGCAUUUGGGGAAGGGGAGGCACAGAACUUUUUCCAAGGGGGCGGGGUGUCACCUGCUUUUAUGCUUUUCUGCUCCUUACAGUCCUGUCAUGGUGGCUGGUACUGUGUCAUUGAAUGUGCUACUGUAGUAAAAUUAACAUGUGAUGAAACAUGGUUUUUGGAAGUCAGAUUCAUUACUGUCUUGGUCCCAGAUGGUCCCAUCUGGGUUUUUUAUUGUUGGUAUUUGUAGGUUCCUUUCUUAUCUCUGAACCCCUUAACUUGAAGGUUUUUGUUAAUUCUUGCUGAAGGUGGGGAGAGGUAAUUGACAGGUUUUGAACAAGGACACUCUUUGCGGGGAGUGGGGGCAGGGGGGAGCUGAUGGGUUUUGAGCAAAGACCUGGAGCAGCUCUGACAACACUUCCACUGGUCUUUAAAAGAAGGCAGGCAGAAAGGCUGUUGUAUGUUUAGAGAGAUAGAGAUUCCACUAACCCCCAUGAAGGGCUCUUCCCUUGCCUUUGAAGCCUUUCCAUGCUGAGUAUCCCUGAGAAAGUUGCUUUACCUCUCUGUGCCUCAUUUACCACAUGUGUGAAAUGCUGAUGCUGAUAGUGGUGGAGAUGAUGGCCCUUCCCUCCUUACAUGGUUAAAGGGUCCGAAACGAGCUGUAGAGGCAGAAAAUUGGGUUUAAAUUCUGGUGCUCCUUUUUUCAACCUGUUUGGAGCAUUUGGAGUCAUGCUCUCUGAGCUUCAACUUCCUUGAUUUUCAAAUAGCAAUAAUUCCUAACUCACAAAUUUGUUGUGAGAAUUAAUAAAAUAUAUAUGUAAAGCUUUAAGCCUAAGUGCUCAGAAAAUAGCCACUGCUAUUCUUAUAAUCACCAAUAAUAAUAAUGAAUUUUAAAAAGUGUAGGUUAAAGUCUUUAAAAAAUCCUAACAUGGGGUAAAAAUAUUACUUAUUAUUAACCAGAGUGGCCAUAGCAUCCAUCCCAAGCUGUUGUUAAGUAAGAUUCCUGCAUAUCUAGCAACUAGACCAGUCCAGAGCUGGGUACUGGAUUUGUUUGCUAAGACAGCUUAAAUCACUUGUUUGCCUCUGACACAGCCUGGCUAUUUCUGACAUGGCCAGAGAGACCACAGAGGGCAUUAAGCUGCAGAAGAGAAACUACAAACAAGAUUUCAGAGAGGAAGAGAUUUCCUGUAAUGGUUGGGACCACCUCCCUGCCAGUUUGAUUUCCCGUGCAGAUGAGUAUGUUGAAAAGAUUGAUGUGGGCACGACCUUCAGACCCUGUUUGGAAAUUACACGUACAAAUGGUACUUUAAUGGUACAUGUGGCAGUUGGGGGGUUGUGUUAAUCACAUUUGAAUAGAGAACUGGUGAUAACUCACUAGGCUCAGCCCCUGGUAGUUAAUUUUGUUGCAUCCAGGGGAAAAUUCUGUUGGGGUCUAUGAGUAGCUGUGGUGCAAUUAGGCGGCCAGAAGGUUUUUGUCGGCACAGUUGCUAUUGAUUAGUAUUUACUUUUAAAAGAGUAAAAGCUAUUCCCUUGUGCCAGAGCUGCCUAAUCUGUCAGGGACGAAGCUGUACACUGCAGACCUGCAUCGCAGGCUUUUUCAUAUAUUAUGGACCCACCCCCAGCGCGCGCGCGCACGCACACACACACACACACACACACACACACACACACACACACACACACACGAGAGAGUCCAGUAUAAAAAUCUCCCCAACUGGUUUUAAUGAUGUUCAAAUAAAAGUCAUAUACCACAGCCAAGAUCUCAUUAAAAGAGGGAAGUCUUUUUGUAGAUUUGCUUAUUUAUUUAUGAAACGCCUCUGAAAUAUUUAUAAAUGCUUCCCUGAUAUUUGUCUGAAACUACAUUUUAGGGCUUCUUUGGUAGAGGGUGGGGGGAGGGGAAGAGUGGAGGAGAGGAUGCGUGCGGGUGAAUUGGGCCCUGUUCCUUUCUGGAGGGAUGAAAUGGAUGUUCCAGGGUAUACAACUGUGUCACUAGGGGGUGCCCCAAGAACCAGGCAGACGCUAACCUGCUCAGCACAGGUGACCCAACUUGCUUGGAUCUCUUCAACAGAAGCAAUGGCAAUCACAAGGAGUCUGUUUAAUUUUCCUGACAGAACCGGGGCAGAUACAGACGCUCUUGAGGCCUUUAUCACUUCCUUCACUUGUAGAGCUAUUUAUUAAUUGAAAUAAUAGUUAUGCUACCCCUUGCCUCAGACCUACUUUCAUCUGUUUAGCAGUUGCUUUCUACGAAAUACAAAAGAGCUCAGCGAUGACACCGGUGUCUUAAUUAACCAUUGAAUACCUUAUAGAGCAGCUGUCACAACUCUUGUCACUUGAAAGAAAGCACAGUGGUCCCUGUUUUUAAAAAAACAACACAUACACAGGGAAAAAAAAAAAAAA
rnacentral:lncRNA from 1 species